GAAAACUUAAGGUAGCUAUGCUUUAUUAAAUUGCAAUUCCAAAACAUGUACCACAAGAGAAUCCAGUCAACACGCUCAAACUUGUUCGCCCGUGCCAGCUACUCAAUUUAUUCAAUUACUAAAUUUAUUCUAUCCUAAUGUAUUUAGAAGGAUCAACCGCAUGAGUUGCAGUUGCAGGCGUCGAUCACCAUGUUGCAUUCGACGUCAGGCUGGCCGACAUAGCUACAUUCAACGUGAUAGCAGCACUGCAUAUUUGAACAG
rnacentral:lncRNA from 1 species